UACGUAGGGUGCAGGCGUUAAUCGGAAUCACUGGGCGUAAAGGGCGUGUAGGCGGUCGAGUAAGUGGAAUGUGAAAUACUCCGGCUCACCCGGAGCACUGCAUCCCAAACUGCUCGGCUUGAGUAUGGGAGAGGACGAGGGAAUUCCUGGUGUAGCGGUGAAAUGCGUAGAUAUCAGGAAGAACACCCGUGGCGAAAAGCGGCUCUCUGGAACGGUACUGACGCUGAAGACGCGAAAGCGUGGGGAGCGAACAGG
rnacentral:rRNA from 1 species